AUUUAUAUAGCUUAUAUUAGAGUUUAAUAUUGAAGAUAUUAAGGAAGUAUUAAUAUACUUAUAAAUA
rnacentral:tRNA from 1 species